rnacentral:rRNA from 1 species
GAUGAACGCUGGCGGCGUGCCUAAUACAUGCAAGUCGAGCGAACGGACGAGAAGCUUGCUUCUCUGAUGUUAGCGGCGGACGGGUGAGUAACACGUGGAUAACCUACCUAUAAGACUGGGAUAACUUCGGGAAACCGGAGCUAAUACCGGAUGAUAUUUUGAACCGCAUGGCUCAAAAGUGAAAGACGGUCUUGCUGUCACUUAUAGAUGGAUCCGCGCUGCAUUAGCUAGUUGGUAAGGUAACGGCUUACCAAGGCAACGAUGCAUAGCCGACCUGAGAGGGUGAUCGGCCACACUGGAACUGAGACACGGUCCAGACUCCUACGGGAGGCAGCAGUAGGGAAUCUUCCGCAAUGGGCGAAAGCCUGACGGAGCAACGCCGCGUGAGUGAUGAAGGUCUUCGGAUCGUAAAACUCUGUUAUUAGGGAAGAACAUAUGUGUAAGUAACUGUGCACAUCUUGACGGUACCUAAGCAGAAAGCCACGGCUAACUACGU